rnacentral:misc_RNA from 1 species
AAAAAAGAAAAAGAAAAAGAAAAGCUAGUACAUUUAUAAAUUCCAUUCACCAAGAUCUCUAGUGUUUUUCAUGCGGAAACUCAACAGAGGUAAACCAAGAUACAAACCAAGAUACAAAAGUAGGACACUUUCUUGCCACAAUCAACAUUCAUUAUAUCUUAUCAUUAACUGCAUUUAACCGCAGAAACAAGUUCUGCUAGGGAAAUUCUGCAUUCCAUUAAUUCUUCACAACUGAGUCAGCUGAUGUACACGAUGCUGGCUGAGGUGAUGGCUUCAGUAUGAUUUCCACAUUGUCAUGCACACCCUGUAGUAAUAGCUCACCAUCAUAUGUCACUGCUUUACGCUUCUUUGCUGCUCUUAGUGUUCCAACUAGUGCUUCAAAUAUAUUCGCACAUCUAUCGUCAUUGAAUAGCACGCCAAAAGUGACCUAAAAAACAGCAAACAAAACUCGGUGACAAAUGAUGACUGUAUAGCAGGUCUUUGAAUAGAAAAUACCAAUGUCAAUUUUCAGUCAAUAAGAAAUGGCUGAAAGAAGACUUGGACAUGAUAAAUGUCAUCACAUGCAAUUACAUAUUCUCUAGUCUUCCUUUGACUGUUAUAGGAUCAAAACAUGUACUCUCUGAUUUGCAGGAUUUGUUCAAAGUGAACUGUGCUCAUGCAGAUUUUCAGACUCUUUCACUUCCUAGUACCAGAUUCCAGUUACCAUGUAUUGGUUAGAACUUGAAUGUAUAAACUUAAAAGUUCUCCAAGUUUUCAAUUCAACACCCAUUAAAAUUAUGGUACAAGGGAGGGAUAUCCAAAAGUAGGUGCUGAUUGAGGAAGCAUUCAUGAAUCCAAAUGAAGGUGCAAAAUCACAAAAUACAAAUUGUUUUUCUGGUUUUGCACCAUUUUUUUAGAUUCUUGAAAGAUUAUGGUAGUGAGCAAUUAUAUGGAAGAUGGAUACUGGCUUACUGGGAUAAAUAUGGCUUGGAUGACUUUGGCAGAGAUGAGUGGAACAAAUGUGUUUUCAUUUGUUGGUAGUGGUGAUUCUCUUCACCUUUUGUCAUGAUGACUAGAGUGGUUUCUCUACCCUAAAAGACUGCUUUCCUGACUUGCUUGUAUCAGCAAAAGAGGGAUGCUUUGAGAUUGAUGUCCUUGUUUGCAAUUACCUUUAAGAAGGUUGAUUUGUGAUUGCACCAAUUGUGAAGAAAACCUAAGAUGGGUAGGUUGUCAUCUUUUCUACUUGAUCUUUCGUAGGAGAUAAUGAUGGUCAGGUAAAGCAGAGAGAAUUUAGAUUGCUUCAACUUGAAAUGCUAAUAUAGGAUCAUUGUUGGAGAGACUGUGCAAGGGAACUAGAGAGAAUCAUAGGAUGAUGCUUGCACCAUCCAAAGAUACUGUUUUGCCAAUAACCUAAAGGGAAAGGAUUUUGACAAUCUACAAUUUUGAAAUGGGGGAGAAAAACCUUGGAAAAGCAAAUUCUGAAACAGAUAUCAAUCUACUAGAAUGUGGGUGGAGUAAAAGCAAUAGAAACUGGCUUUUUUUUUUUUCAGUUGAAGAAGCUGUCAAGCAGUUGCAGGCUCAAUACUGAGGAAGAGAUUUGUGUCUGGAAUUUAACCAAAGUAAUUGUUACAAUGGACAGUUUUCCAGUGAUACUAAUAAUGAUGUAAAUUUGGUUGAUUCUAUCUUGUAAAUAAUUUACUUUUGUAUUCAACCCUUGGUCCCUUAUACAGUUAUUUUUAUCCAAAUAGAGGACUGUAACUCCUAUCAAAAUUUCUUAAAUUAGGGGUUUAAACCCCAAACUCUUACAUAAUACGAAUUACGGCCUAAAUUCCACUUGGGAUUCCACCUGAGAAGAAUUGCUCAAUUGUGUCCGUCUAAAAGUGAACUAAUCUGGAAUUGCUUUUCAGGUGCAUUCUGUGAGAGCAGGAAUACAAUCAUCAAUUAUAGUUUUCAUUGAUGGAUUAUGCACAGAUCAUGAAGCUCUCUUUGAUAGCUUCGCUGCCACGGAACGGCCAAUUAUUCUUAGCGAGUUUGUGGGUGUGACCAGGAUGAAGAUGGAAGGAUGAUAAGACCCUUAACAAAAUUAGCGAGUCCCAUUAAGGCCAGAGAACCCCACAAGAGAGAACUGUGCUGGUUUUCCGUUUUGCCCCUUCCUCAUAUUCAAAAUCAACAACCAAUUUAUCACAAUUCCUCCUGACCCAAAUCAAAUUCCUAAUCCAGAAAAGCCAUUUGAGUCGACGUUACCCAAAAUAUAAGCAGAAAAAAAUAGACAAAUGGGAUAACACCCAUAUGGUAAAUUGGGAAAUUUGCUACUAUGGUUUUGAACCAUAGUACAAAUCCUUGCAUUUGUGAGAUAAAAAUCCCAAGAGCACCAAAAAUGUCCAUGCUUGCCCAAAUCAGCAUUGAUCUUUAUCAAGUAACUCUGCAACUUCCAAACAUAAAAAUGGACCAAAGAAUCCAAAAGGAAGAAAGGAAAAAAAAUCUAGAUCUAGAUCCCACUUUCAUAAAUGUCUCAAAAUCAUGAUCCACCUUUGAUAGAUUUGCCAAUAAUUCAAGACCCAGAUUAGAUCAACCCAGGUAUCAUAUGCUCAAAAUGCCAUGCAAUUCAACUCGCAUAUACAUCACAUCAAUAAAAAAAACAUAUUUUAAUUAUGGAAAUGAGAAAUUUACCUUAUAGGAUCCAUCAGGUUGGAUCUUGCCAAGUCUCUGGAUCUCUUCUUUGAGUCUCUCUACCUCUUCUUCUACGUUCAUGGUUUCUCUUUCUUCCCUUCUGAAAAAAAAUCUAUGCGCCUGUGAUUUCUUUUCUGG